GACAGAGGGUGCAAACGUUGUUCGGAAUCACUGGGCGUAAAGCGCGUGUAGGCGGCUAAGUAAGUCGGACGUGAAAGCCCACGGCUCAACCGUGGAAGUGCGCUCGAAACUGCAUAGCUUGAGUCUUGGAGAGGAAGGCGGAAUACUUGGUGUAGAGGUGAAAUUCGUAGAUAUCAGGUAGAACACCAGUGGCGAAGGCGGCCUUCUGGACAAUGACUGACGCUGAGACGCGAAAGCGUGGGGAGCAAACAGG
rnacentral:rRNA from 1 species